rnacentral:rRNA from 1 species
CAGCAGCCGCGGUAAUACGUAGGUGGCAAGCGUUGUCCGGAAUUAUUGGGCGUAAAGGGCUCGCAGGCGGUUUCUUAAGUCUGAUGUGAAAGCCCCCGGCUCAACCGGGGAGGGUCAUUGGGAACUGGGAAACUUGAGUGCAGAAGAGGAGAGUGGAAUUCCACGUGUAGCGGUGUAAUGCGUAGAGAUGCGGAGGAACACCAGUGGCGAAGGCGACUCUCUGGUCUGUAACUGACGCUGAGGAGCGAAAGCGUGGGGAGCGGACAGGAUUAGAUACCCCCGUAGUCCCUGUCUCUUAUAC